rnacentral:rRNA from 1 species
UACGUAGGGGGCAAGCGUUGUCCGGAUUUAUUGGGCGUAAAGAGCGUGUAGGCGGCCAUACAGGUCCGUUGUGAAAACUGGAGGCUUAACCUCCAGACGUCGAUGGAAACCGUAUGGCUAGAGUCCGGAAGAGGAGAGUGGAAUUCCUGGUGUAGCGGUGGAAUGCGCAGAUAUCAGGAAGAACACCCGUGGCGAAGGCGGCUCUCUGGGACGGUACUGACGCUGAGACGCGAAAGCGUGGGGAGCGAACAGG